rnacentral:misc_RNA from 1 species
UCCGAGUUGACCCCGGCAGUCUCCCAUGAGUCCCCACCAUAACGUGCUGGCAACAUGGAACGAGGGUUGCGCUCGUUGCGGGACUUAACCCAACAUCUCACGACACGAGCUGACGACAACCAUGCACCACCUGUGAGACGCCCUUGCGGACCCCGUAUCUCUACGAGUUUUCAUCCCAUGUCAAGCCUUGGUAAGGUUCUUCGCGUUGCAUCGAAUUAAUCCGCAUGCUCCGCCGCUUGUGCGGGCCCCCGUCAAUUCCUUUGAGUUUUAGCCUUGCGGCCGUACUCCCCAGGCGGGGCACUUAAUGCGUUAGCUACGGCGCGGAAAACGUGGAAUGUCCCCCACACCUAGUGCCCAACGUUUACGGCAUGGACUAC